rnacentral:rRNA from 1 species
CCGUGACCUUUACUAUAGCUUCGUAUUGACCCUGGGCAAGGGAUGUGUAGGAUAGCUGGGAGGCUUUGAAUCUGUGUCGCCAGGCAUGGAGGAGCCGUUGUUGAAAUACCAGCCUUCGUUUGUCCGGGGCCUAACCUCGCGAGAGGGACAGUGCGUGGUGGGUAGUUUGACUGGGGCGGUCUCCUCCUAAAGAGUAACGGAGGAGCACGAAGGUUGGCUAAGUACGGUCGGACAUCGUACGGUUAGUGUAAUGGUAGAAGCCAGCUUAACUGCGAGACAGACACGUCGAGCAGGUACGAAAGUAGGUCAUAGUGAUCCGGUGGUUCUGAAUGGAAGGGCCAUCGCUCAACGGAUAAAAGGUACUCCGGGGAUAACAGGCUGAUACCGCCCAAGAGUUCAUAUCGACGGCGGUGUUUGGCACCUCGAUGUCGGCUCAUCUCAUCCUAGGGCUGAAGCAGGUCCUAAGGGUAUGGCUGUUCGCCAUUUAAAGAGGUACGCGAGCUGGGUUUAGAACGUCGUGAGAC